UGAAGGCUGAAAUUCGCCUUCAUGAAGCCGGAAUUGCUAGUAAUGGCAGGUCAGCAUACUGCCGUGAAUACGUUCCCGGGCCUUGUACACACCGCCCGUCACACCAUGAGAGUUGGGAAUACCCGAAGCCUGUGAGCUAACGUAAGAGGCAGCAGUCGAAGGUAGAAUCAAUGAUUGGGGUGAAGUCGUAACAAGGUAUC
rnacentral:rRNA from 1 species